rnacentral:lncRNA from 1 species
CGUGCAGUGGCCCACAUGAUCCAAUGGAUGGUUGAGUCAGAUCAUGCUGUUCUGCUUUGAGGUAUUACCACUUAGAAUAGAGUCACAGCCCUCAUGAUGGUCUACAAAGCCCUGUGAGAUCUGGCAUCAAGUGGUCCUGGCUUUCCAUCCCAGCUGCAGCCCCUUGGUCACUGAUCCUGGCUCCUCUGCCUCUCCGGGGAUUCUCCCUUGCUGGCAUUUGUAUCUGAAGUCAUCCUGCAGGUGAGGAUCAGACCAUCCUGUGCAGUCAUGUCUACCCGUGGAAUGUGACAUCACGAAUUCAAAGAUAAUCGCUGGAUGAGUUACAUGAAACCCUCUGUGAAUAAAGAGGAUGAUUUGUAAGAUGGAGAAGAAAAGCUAGAAACCUCACAUUCUGGAGAGAUGCUUUUCUCUGCAGAGAAUAAUUCGUGGAGUCCACAGACUAUUCAAGGAGUGAUGCACGGUGCGGAUAGAACCUUCCUAUGCAGCCCUGUCUAUCUGUGGAAAGUGACACCAUGAAUUUAAGGAUAAUCGCUGGAUGACUUACACAAAAGCCUCUGUGAGUAAAGAGGAUGAUUUGUAAGGUGAGGGAAUGAGGACACUUUAUCACGAGCAUCAGUUUUACAUUUUCAAAUGCAGCCUUCAUCAUAGUCCUGGGACAUGAGCAGGUACUACAUAUAUGAACACCUCCGCUUUACAAGCAAGUUGUAUAAACGUGAAACACACACCUUGAGGAGAGACACUCCAUCCGACGAGGUCACAUCAUUUGAGUAGUUGGCAAAUGAAUAGUAAAACCUCAAAACUCUGGCUGAUAUAAAAUAAGUUGUUUUUCUUCCUUAUCUACAUGGUUGUUGCCAAAUCCUCAUGUAGAGGACGGGGUGAUCACUUCCCAUACGUUUUUAUUUUAAA